AUAUAUCGAUUAUGUUACAUGCGGGGGUUAAAAAUAACUAGUACAUGUGUUCGUAGGCUAGUCUUUUUUCACACAUUUCAUGAUCACAAUGUCGCAGGUUGAAGCUGUUAAAAAAGCAGGUUAAUCAGCUACGAGAAGAGUCUAAUAUGUACAGAAUUAAUGUUUCACAAGCAUGCGAGGAUUUAAUGAAUUAUUGCCUUGAACAUCAACAAAUGGAUGGUCUUGUCCAGGGAGUUAGCCAAUUAGACAACCCCUUCAAAGAAAACAAAUCAUGUAUAAUCCUUUGAAAGAUACGUCGUUAGAUCGAUCGAAGUUGCUGAGUGUGGAAGACAGUAAGGCUAUGAUCAAUAUCCAUGUAAUGUACUUCAGUCAGUUUUAUUUAUAUACACACUUGAUUAUGUUCUGAUAAUAUGUACACAUAUUUCAGCAUAUGUUGUUAUUAGAUUUAAAGCGAUAAUACGAUAUCUUUCUAUUUUUUUCUACUUCCUAAAGAU